rnacentral:rRNA from 1 species
UACGUAGGGUGCAAGCGUUAAUCGGAAUUACUGGGCGUAAAGCGUGCGCAGGCGGUUAUGUAAGACAGUUGUGAAAUCCCCGGGCUCAACCUGGGAACUGCAUCUGUGACUGCAUCGCUGGAGUGCGGCAGAGGGGAUGGAAUUCCGCGUGUAGCAGUGAAAUGCGUAGAUAUGCGGAGGAACACCGAUGGCGAAGGCAAUCCCCUGGGCCUGCACUGACGCUCAUGCACGAAAGCGUGGGGAGCAAACAGG